GUUGUCAUUGGCGAUCUCAUCCUGACAGGUAAGUUUCCUUAAGCAGGAUAUGUGGGUUUGGAUUUCAGCUUUAACUAUUCUGGUUUCAUUUCACUGGACUCAGUGGCUUUUUUUUUUUUUUUUCUUCCUUUCCUUCUUUUGGCGGCUGAGAGCCUCUUUGCUGGAGAAUUCCCGGUGCAGCAGGGUUAUAUAAUCUGACUCAGAAACUGGGCCUCAACCCAGCGAGGUCAACAUGUUCUUUAUUUAAUUAGUCUUUUAGGCAUUUAAGAGCAUGCAUAUUUAAAAGAAAAGGUCUAUUAUAAAGGAGAUGUAAAGUCAACCUGAAUACUUCAUCAUCAAAAUUCCAUUUGAUUCUUCCUCCUUGCUCCUUUUGUUCGAGGGGAAAGUAGGUUUUGUGCACGAUUUGGGGGUGAGCAAUGGGAAGGGGUAGAAGUUGAGUCCACGGGCAUUUGUUGACUGUGUUUUUAAGGGGAUGGCAAACUGUAGUCUUAGGCGGUGGCUGCGCCCAGGUAAGGGUGAAUUAACUGAAACGUUGGGCGAAAGUUUCAGCCACUCGGGGCCGCGCCCCCAGGACCUCAGCCCCGAAACUUGAAAGCCCGGGGUGGUCGGGCCAGGACGCAAAGGCGCCUGCAGCAUCAGCUCAGCCCCGCGGCCGGCCGCUGUGUCUGCAGCCCUGCUGAGCCUAGGCCUCUGAGCAGGACCCAAACCAGAAGAGGGCGGGAUGGGAGUGUGCCGGCGUCCCAGUGCAGACUCAUCCCGAUGUCUUAGCACCCGAAAAUGUGGCCGGUGGCUUGUCUCCGAGGUCUCGGACCUGUAAAUGAGAGGUGGUGGAGUCUUCUUGCUGUCUGAUCAUCUUGCCUGUUCAUCUUCUCUCCCCAGCAUUGGAUGAAGACAUGAAGCAUCUCCUGGCUCUAAUCAGUUACAUCAGCUAAUGGCACAGAUUGCAUCGUUUGGGAGACCAGAAAGGUGGAGUCACAGGAGACAAAGCCAUAGAAAUGGAAGACAAUUUAAAAUAAGUAAUCAUGGACUAAAAGAGAAUAUGCUGGCUAUAAAAUAAGUGCAGGAUUAAAAGAAAUGGGGAAGUCA